UAGGGAAUAUUGCACAAUGGAGGAAACUCUGAUGCAGCGACGCCGCGUGAGUGACGAAGGCCUUCGGGUUGUAAAGCUCUGUUCUCAGGGAAAAAGAAAGUGAUUGUACCUGAGAAGAAAGGACCGGCUAACUUCGUGCCAGCAGCCGCGGUAAGACGAGGGGUCCAAGCGUUGUUCGGAAUCAUUGGGCGUAAAGCGGGUGUAGGCGGCCUUAUAAGUCAGAAGUGAAAGCCCCGAGCUUAACUUGGGAAGUGCUUUUGAUACUGCAAGGCUUGAAUGUGGGAGAGGGUAGUGGAAUUCCUGGUGUAGUGGUGAAAUACGUAGAUAUCAGGAGGAACACCGGUGGCGAAGGCGGCUACCUGGCCCAACAUUGACGCUGAGACCCGAAAGCAUGGGGAUCAAACAGG
rnacentral:rRNA from 1 species